rnacentral:lncRNA from 1 species
GGUAUCCCUUUCCUGGUUUCCCCUCCAGAAACCUGCUAUCCCAUCACUCCUCCCCCUGCUUCUAUGAGGGUGCUCUCCCACCCACUCAUGCACUCCCUCCCGCCCCCCUGUCCUGGCAUUCCCCUAUACUAGGACAUUGAGCCUUGACAGGACCAAGGGCCUCUCCUCCCAUUGGUGCCCAAGAAGGCCAUCCUCUAUGUAAUAUAUGACUGGAACCAUAGGUACAUCCCUGUGUUCUCUUGGGAUGGUGGUUUAGUCCCUGGGAGCUCUGGGGGCUCUGAUCGGUUGAUAUUGUUCUUUUUAUGGCGUUGCAAACCCCUUCAGCUACUUCAGUCUUUUCUCUAACUCCUCCAUUGGGGACCCCGUUCUUACUUCAAUGGUUGACUGUGACCAUCUGCCUCUGUGUUUGUCAGUCUCUGGCAGAGCCUAUAAUCUUGUGUCCAAGUUAUGAUUCCUUUCUCAUGUGGAUUCUUUCCUGCCUUCACCUAGACUGUUCUACACCCAUCCCUAAAUUAAGAAUCAAAAUGGUCAUGUACUUCCAACUUUGUUUGGAAUUCUUACUUCUAUUUUAUAGUCUAAGUAUGUAAAAUCACAGUCUAUACAGAAUCUACAUAAAUGUGAAUCAUGGCCAGUUAUCAAAGAAUAUGAAAUCACUCACAUAAUUAGUACAGAGACAAUGAAUUAAACAUUAUCUAUUUAGGGGAGAGUUGAAACUUUUAAAGUAUUCUGUGAUACUUACAUACUUAUAAUAAAUAGAAACCUGAAGG